GACGAACGCUGGCGGCGUGCCUAAUACAUGCAAGUCGAACGCAGUGGGGACGGGUGAGUAACAAGUUGCUAACCUCCCAUCAGAGGGGAUAACACUUGGACACAUGUGCUAAACCGCUAAUGAUGGGUGGGCCCGGGGUGCAUUGGCUAGUUGGUGAGGUAACGGCUCACCAAGGCCACGAUGCAUAGCCGUCCUGAGAGGGGGAUCGGCAACGCGGUGACUGAGACCCGGCCCAACCUCCUACGGGAGGCAGCAGUAGGGAAUCUUCGGCAAUGGACGAAAGUCUGACCGAGAAACGCCGCGUGAGUGAAGAGGGUUUUCGGUUCGUAAAACUUUGUUGUUAGGGAAGCGGUAUCUAACCAGAAAGCCACGGCUAACUACGUGCCAGCAGCCGCGGUAAUAC
rnacentral:rRNA from 1 species